GACGAACGCUGGCGGCGUGCUUAACACAUGCAAGUCGAACGGAAAGGCCCUGCUUUUGUGGGGUGCUCGAGUGGCGAACGGGUGAGUAACACGUGAGUAACCUGCCCUUGACUUUGGGAUAACUUCAGGAAACUGGGGCUAAUACCGGAUAGGAGCUCCUGCUGCAUGGUGGGGGUUGGAAAGUUUCGGCGGUUGGGGAUGGACUCGCGGCUUAUCAGCUUGUUGGUGGGGUAGUGGCUUACCAAGGCUUUGACGGGUAGCCGGCCUGUGAGGGUGACCGGCCACAGUGGGACUGAGAUACGGCCCAGACUCCUACGGGAGGCAGCAGUGGGGAAUAUUGCACAAUGGGCGGAAGCCUGAUGCAGCAACGCCGCGUGCGGGAUGACGGCCUUCGGGUUGUAAACCGCUUUCGCCUGUGACGAAGCGUGAGUGACGGUAAUGGGUAAAGAAGCACCGGCUAACUACGUG
rnacentral:rRNA from 1 species